GGUCCCGUAGCUCAGUUGGAUAGAGCAGCCGCCUUCUAAGCGGCGGGUCGGGGGUUCGAGCCCUCCCGGGAUCGCCA
rnacentral:tRNA from 1 species